UUCCUCGGUAGCUCAGUGGUAGAGCAUGCGGCUGUUAACCGCCAGGUCGCUGGUUCGAGUCCGGCCCGGGGAGU
rnacentral:tRNA from 1 species